rnacentral:rRNA from 1 species
CCUACGGGCGGCAGCAGUGAGGAAUAUUGGUCAAUGGACGGAAGUCUGAACCAGCCAUGCCGCGUGCAGGAAGACGGCUCUAUGAGUUGUAAACUGCUUUUGUACAAGGGUAAACCUGAAUACGUGUAUUCAGCUGAAAGUACUGUACGAAUAAGGAUCGGCUAACUCCGUGCCAGCAGCCGCGGUAAUACGGAGGAUCCAAGCGUUAUCCGGAUUUAUUGGGUUUAAAGGGUGCGUAGGCGGAUUGAUAAGUUAGAGGUGAAAUGUCCGAGCUUAACUCGGGAACUGCCUCUAAUACUGGUGGUCUAGAGAGUAGAUGCGGUAGGCGGAAUGUAUGGUGUAGCGGUGAAAUGCUUAGAGAUCAUACAGAACACCGAUUGCGAAGGCAGCUUACCAAUCUAUAUCUGACGUUGAGGCACGAAAGCGUGGGGAGCAAACAGGAUUAGAUACCCCUGUAGUC